rnacentral:rRNA from 1 species
UGCAGCGACGCCGCGUGAGGGAUGACGGCCUUCGGGUUGUAAACCUCUUUCAGUAGGGAAGAAGCGAAAGUGACGGUACCUGCAGAAGAAGCACCGGCUAACUACGUGCCAGCAGCCGCGGUAAUACGUAGGGUGCGAGCGUUAUCCGGAAUUAUUGGGCGUAAAGAGCUCGUAGGCGGUUUGUCGCGUCUGUCGUGAAAGUCCGGGGCUUAACCCCGGAUCUGCGGUGGGUACGGGCAGACUAGAGUGCAGUAGGGGAGACUGGAAUUCCUGGUGUAGCGGUGGAAUGCGCAGAUAUCAGGAGGAACACCGAUGGCGAAGGCAGGUCUCUGGGCUGUAACUGACGCUGAGGAGCGAAAGCAUGGGGAGCGAACAGGAUUAGAUACCCUGGUAGUCCAUGCCGUAAACGUUGGGCACUAGGUGUGGGGACCAUUCCACGGUUUCCGCGCCGCAGCUAACGCAUUAAGUGCCCCGCCUGGGGAGUACGGCCGCAAGGCUAAAACUCAAAGGAAUUGACGGGGGCCCGCACAAGCGGCGGAGCAUGCGGAUUAAUUCGAUGCAACGCGAAGAACCUUACCAAGGCUUGACAUGUUCUCGAUCGCCGUAGAGAUACGGUUUCCCCUUUGGGGCGGGUUCACAGGUGGUGCAUGGUUGUCGUCAGCUCGUGUCGUGAGAUGUUGGGUUAAGUCCCGCAACGAGCGCAACCCUCGUUCCAUGUUGCCAGCACGUCGUGGUGGGGACUCAUGGGAGACUGCCGGGGUCAACUCGGAGGAAGGUGAGGACGACGUCAAAUCAUCAUGCCCCUUAU